GGGGCUGGUGCCCCCGCGGGUUAACGCGGCGCACUUAAACCGGAGUGACCUGCCGUGUGCUUUAUGUAUGUGACGAUGGAAGCGGAGAUAGUGCCCCUGGACUUGUCUUGUCCCAUGUAAUCCCGACAGCCAUCACGUUUGUUUCCCGUCCAAUUGAAUUCUAGCUCGCUGCCGAAAAAGCUCCCCAGCCUUAGGUUCACAGGGGGAAGAUUUGUGUGUUUGAAGAUCAUGAAGUCCUACUAGUAUCCACCUUUCAGAAAUUUUAGCGCCUGUAGAAGAGCAAAAUAUGAAAGUUGCUGUUACGUGAUUGAUGUUAGGGUCGUUAGCUGCAAAUUCAGAUUUAGUGACUUCUUUUUUUAAGGCAAGCUGAGCAAAUCGCGCUGCAGAGAGGCAAACAGCAGUGUUCUGGAGUAAAGCUUAGAGUGACAUUGAUGACUGCACUUCAUGGCAUCUAAAAGGCUUUUCUGCAGUUUUUCCCUCCAGGAAUGGACUUACAUGCUACAGUGGCUUUUCAGAAGUUUGUGCUUUCCACAAUAUCAUAGAAAAGUUGGGGUUAGAAGGGACCUUAAAGAUCAUAUAGUUUCACACCCCCAAUGGCAUCUUGCUUUUGUUCUCUCCACCUUUCAACAAGUUCUUUUAUGUUACAAAAAGAAAAAUAGCCCUUUUGGCAUUUGCUGUCCUCAGUUGCUAGAAUUGAAAUGGUGAUGUAUGAAAUGCACAUAUGGAAAUAGAGAAUGUGUUGGAAUUAAAGCUUUUUUUUGUUAGCAUCAGUUAUUUAGAAACUUAAAUUGGAUUAGUUUAUUUGAAAUGCUUCAUGAGAUAAUCUUGGAAGGCAGCAACAAGGUGUCAGGAUAAGGACAGAAAUCUGUGUCAGUGUUGUUGAAGACAAGGAGUACUAAAGUAUGAAAAUGUUUUUAAUGUGUAGCAACUGCAUAUUGCUGCUAGGCUGUGUUUAAAGUUCUGCAUUCAUGCCAUUAAAAUGUUUAUUCCUACAAUGGCCAGACUCUUUCCUCUACUCUGUAAUGUGUAAGUGUAUGCACACACUUUUUAGAUUAAAUACUUUCACAUGAAUUUGAGAUUUUCUCUAUAAACAACAGACACUUGAAUUAUUUAAAGUUACUUUAAAACAUUUACAAUAUAAAAAGUUUUGCACAAGGCUGACAGGUGAAAUGCUUCUGCAUUUGUUCUUUCUGUAAAUCAGGCUUCUGUCAGAAUUUGUAUUGGAACUUUGCUAGCACGUAAACUCAAAUACUCUUGGAUUAGAUACAAAAAAAAGGCCAACAACCCAGAACACCAAAACCAACAUCUGAAAAAUCUAACAACUGUAAUAGUUUUUGGUUUAUAGCAUUUCUAAAUUAGUUCUGGAUAUGAAGUAUUUUCUUGUCCAUGUGGUGAAACUGUUUUGAAGCCUUUGCCCUAAUCAGGACCAUGUUCAAGAGGAGCAGAAUAAAAAUAGAAUCUUGGCUGAGUCUGUGAGGGCA
rnacentral:lncRNA from 1 species